rnacentral:rRNA from 1 species
UCCUACGGGGGGCAGCAGUGGGGGAUAUUGCACAAUGGGGGGAACCCUGAUGCAGCGACGCCGCGUGGGUGAAGAAGCGCCUCGGCGCGUAAAGCCCUGUCAGCAGGGAAGAAAAUGACGGUACCUGCAGAAGAAGCCCCGGCUAACUACGUGCCAGCAGCCGCGGUAAUACGUAGGGGGCAAGCGUUAUCCGGAUUUACUGGGUGUAAAGGAGGCGCAGACGGCGAUGCAAGCCGGGAGUGAAAGCCCGGGGCCCAACCCCGGGCCUGCUCUCG